rnacentral:lncRNA from 1 species
UCCCGCACUGUUAUCAAGAUAAAGUCACCCCAUAAAUGUGUUGCUUCCUAGAUAAAUGUAAUCCUCCAUCUAAGACAGAGUGCCUGCUAUUUUCCUUGUGUUUCUGUUUGUGGUGAUGAGGUCACCCAGAGGACUCAGUCUCUCCCCUAAAGCUCAUUAGAUCACAUUAAAUUCACAAUAGGUUUAAAUUCACAAAGUGUACACUGGAAUGAUCAGGAGCAGGGGGUUUUAGCCAGAGAAUUCCCUAAACACAGAGCAGGUUUGGAACCUGCUCCUUUGAAAAUGUGAGGAACCCGAGUUGAAGUCGGCUUUUCUAGCACUUAAGGCAGGAGUGGGGUGCAGGGGGCUCCUUGCAGGGGAGCCUGAUUCUGAGGCUGGAAGCUGGGAUGAGGGAGGGGUAAAGAGGGAUGAGGGACCAUUAGCUGUCUCUGCCGAGAGGAUCUACAGUGAGGGACGUCUGGCAGAUGACACAGUGGGGCUGGGCUGGAGAUGACUUAUUCCUGGAUCACAUUCGUGUUUAGAUGAUCAAGCCAAAUCACAAUUAGUUUAGUAUU